rnacentral:miRNA from 1 species
AUAAAUGCAUUUUAAAGUCGUGAG